rnacentral:rRNA from 1 species
AUUGAACGCUGGCGGCAUGCCUUACACAUGCAAGUCGAACGGCAGCACGGGUGCUUGCACCUGGUGGCGAGUGGCGAACGGGUGAGUAAUACAUCGGAACGUACCUUAUCGUGGGGGAUAACGCAGCGAAAGCUGUGCUAAUACCGCAUACGCCCUGAGGGGGAAAGCGGGGGAUCGAAAGACCUCGCGCGAUUAGAGCGGCCGAUGCCUGAUUAGGUUGUUGGUGGGGUGAAAGCCCACCAAGGCGACGAUCAGUAGCUGGUCUGAGAGGACGAUCAGCCACACUGGGAGUGAGCCACGGCCCAGACUCCUACGGGAGGCAGCAGUGGGGAAUUUUGGACAAUGGGGGCAACCCUGAUCCAGCAAUGCCGCGUGAGUGAAGAAGGCCUUCGGGUUGUAAAGCUCUUUUGUCAGGGAAGAAACACCGGCUCUAACACAGUCCGGGAAUGACGGUACCUGAAGAAUAAGCACCGGCUAACUACGUGCCAGCCGCCGCGGUAA